AAAAAUAAUUACACCUUUAGAGCGAAGGUACAGUUACUCUACACGCAAAAGUAUCUCAUAAGAUCUAUACAUUCAUGCCAAACUAACCAAAUAAGUGCUAAU